rnacentral:rRNA from 1 species
UACAGAGGUCCCAAGCGUUGUUCGGAUUCACUGGGCGUAAAGCGCACGUAGGCGGAUCUUUAAGUCAGGGGUGAAAUCCCGAGGCUCAACCUCGGAACUGCCUUUGAUACUGGGGAUCUCGAGUCCGGGAGAGGUGAGUGGAACUGCGAGUGUAGAGGUGAAAUUCGUAGAUAUUCGCAAGAACACCAGUGGCGAAGGCGGCUCACUGGCCCGGUACUGACGCUGAGGUGCGAAAGCGUGGGGAGCAAACAGG